AGUGAACGCUGGCGGUAGGCCUAACACAUGCAAGUCGAACGGCAGCACAGUAAGAGCUUGCUCUUACGGGUGGCGAGUGGCGGACGGGUGAGGAAUACAUCGGAAUCUACUUUUUCGUGGGGGAUAACGUAGGGAAACUUACGCUAAUACCGCAUACGACCUACGGGUGAAAGCAGGGGAUCUUCGGACCUUGCGCGAUUGAAUGAGCCGAUGUCGGAUUAGCUAGUUGGGGGGGUAAAGGCCCACCAAGGCGACGAUCCGUAGCUGGUCUGAGAGGAUGAUCAGCCACACUGGAACUGAGACACGGUCCAGACUCCUACGGGAGGCAGCAGUAGGGAAUAUUGGACAAUGGGCGCAAGCCUGAUCCAGCCAUACCGCGUGAGUGAAGAAGGCCUUCGGGUUGUAAAGCCCUUUUAUUGGGAAAGAAAAGCAGCAGGUUAAUACCCCGCUGUUCUGACGGUACCCAAAGAAUAAGCACCGGCUAACUUCGUG
rnacentral:rRNA from 1 species